rnacentral:rRNA from 1 species
UACGUAGGGUGCGAGCGUUGUCCGGAUUUACUGGGCGUAAAGGGCGUGCAGGCGGUCUGUUAAGUGCAGGGUGAAAGCUCCCGGCUCAACUGGGAGAGGUCCUUGCAUACUGGCGGACUUGAGGGGGGUAGAGGAAAGUGGAAUUCCCGGUGUAGUGGUGGUAUGCGUAGAUAUCGGGAGGAACACCUGUGGCGAAGGCGGCUUUCUGGGCCCUACCUGACGCUGAGACGCGAAAGCGUGGGGAGCGAACCGG